GGAUCCAUGGGGUAGCGGAUAUCCUUCCGGGCUUCGGACCCGGGGACGUGGGUUCGAUUCCCACUGGAUCCG
rnacentral:tRNA from 1 species